UUGACUCUUGGUCUUAUUUAAAAAUUUUUUGUGAUUAAUAUUUUUAUUCUUACUAGAUGAUAAAAUAUGAAUGGUAUUUUAUGGGUGACUAAUUUUUUUAAGUUUUUUUACAAAAUUUUUAAAUAAGACGAACGGUCAA
rnacentral:pre_miRNA from 1 species